AAUCGAACCCGGAGAUAGCUGGUUCUCCUCGAAAUAGCUUUAGGGCUAGCCUCGUGUUAACCUUGUGGAGGUAGAGCACUGAAUAUCCUAGGGGGCGUCAAAGUCUACCGAAGAUUAUCAAACUCCGAAUGCCAUAAAGGUGAUGCACGGGAGUCAGACUGCACGAGAUAAGUUGGGUGGUCAAAAGGGAAAGAGCCCAGACCUACAGCUAAGGUCCCAAAGUGCGUGUUAAGUGGAAAAGGAUGUGGGAUUUCGAAGACAACUAGGAUGUUGGCUCAGAAGCAGCCAUACAUUCAAAGAGUGCGUAAUAGCUCACUAGUCGAGAGGUCCUGCGCCGAAAAUGUCCGGGGCUGAAACACGACACCGAAGCUUAGGAAUGUAGAAAUACAUUGGUAGAGGAGCAUUGUUAGCGCAGCGAAGCUGUACCGAUAAGGAGCAGUGGAGUGCUAAGAAGAGAGAAUGCCGGAAUGAGUAGCGAGAGGAAGGUGAGAAUCCUUCCGGCCGAAUAUCCAAGGUUUCCAGAGUAAAGCUGAUCUGCUCUGGGUAAGUCGGGGCCUAAGGCGAGGUCGAAAGACGUAGUCGAUGGAUAACAGGUGGAGAUUCCUGUACUAUGUGUACCCAGAAAUGUGGGGACGCAUGUGGAGAGCACGAGCCGGGAAAGAGAAGACCGGUACAAGCGGGGUAGGAGUAAGGACAGCAAAUCUUCCUUACAAUCCGAAGACGUAAUGUGGACCGAACCAAAGUAGGGAAGCGUGUGAGCCAUGUGCCAAGAAAAGCCGCUAUUGUGAUACACAUACCCGUACCGUAAACCGACACAGGUGGAUGAGGAGAGAAUCCUAAGGCCGACGGAAGAAGCAUUGUUAAGGAACUCGGCAAAAUGACCCCGUAACUUCGGGAGAAGGGGUGCCCUGUGAAAGCAGGGCCGCAGAGAAUAGGCUCAAGCAACUGUUUAGCAAAAACACAGGUCUAUGCGAAACCGAAAGGUGAGGUAUAUGGGCUGACGCCUGCCCGGUGCUGGAAGGUUAAGAGGAGAGGUUAGCGCAAGCGAAGCUUUGAAUUUAAGCCCCAGUAAACGGCGGCCGUAACUAUAACGGUCCUAAGGUAGCGAAAUUCCUUGUCGGGUAAGUUCCGACCCGCACGAAAGGCGUAAUGAUUUGAGCACUGUCUCGACAAUGCAUCCGGUGAAAUUGAAGUACCAGUGAAGAUGCUGGUUACCUGCGCCAGGACGGAAAGACCCCAUGGAGCUUUACUCCAGCUUGAUACUGGGAUUCGAUACUGUAUGUACAGGAUAGGUGGGAGACGUUGAGCAUAGAACGCCAGUUUUAUGUGAGUCGCUGUUGGGAUACCACCCUUGCAGUAUUGGAUUUCUAACCUGCACCCAUGACCUGGGUGGGGGACAAUGUCUGGCGGGGAGUUUGACUGGGGCGGUCGCCUCCGAAAGGGUAUCGGAGGCGCUCAAAGGUUCCCUCAGAAUGGUUGGAAACCAUUCGAAGAGUGCAAAGGCAGAAGGGAGCUUGACUGCGACACCGACGGGUGGAGCAGGUACGAAAGUAGGACUUAGUGAUCCGGUGGUAUAAAGUGGGAUUGCCAUCGCUCAACGGAUAAAAGCUACCCUGGGGAUAACAGGCUUAUCACUCCCAAGAGUUCACAUCGACGGAGUGGUUUGGCACCUCGAUGUCGGCUCAUCGCAUCCUGGGGCUGUAGUAGGUCCCAAGGGUUGGGCUGUUCGCCCAUUAAAGCGGCACGCGAGCUGGGUUCAGAACGUCGUGAGACAGUUCGGUCCAUAUCCGGUAUACGCGCAAGAGAUUUGAACGGAGUCUUCCUUAGUACGAGAGGACCGGGAAGAGGGGACCUCCAGUGUACGGGUUAUUCUGCCAAGAGUAAACGCCCGGUAGCUGUGUUCCAAGCGGAUAAGUGCUGAAAGCAUAUAAGUACGAAGCCCACCGUAAGAUGAGAUCUCUCAUAGCAUAAGCUAGUAAGUCCCGUUGCAGAUUACAACGUUGAUAGGUCGCAGGUGUAAGAGUGGCAACAUUUUCAGCCGAGCGAUACUAAUAGGACGAGGGCUUUCCUU
rnacentral:rRNA from 1 species